rnacentral:rRNA from 1 species
CCUACGGGAGGCAGCAGUGAGGAAUAUUGGUCAAUGGCCGGAAGGCUGAACCAGCCAAGCCGCGUGAGGGAGGAAGGCGCAGAGCGUCGCAGACCUCUUUUGCCGGGGGACAAAAGGCCGGACGGGUCCGGUUCUGAGGGUACCCGGAGAAAAAGCAUAGGAUAACUCCGUGCCAGCCGACGCGGUAAUACGGGGGAUGCGAGCGUUAUACGGAUUCAUUGGGUUUAUGGGGUGCGCCGGCGGGCCUUUAAGCCGGCGGUGAAAUCGCGGGGCCAAACCCCGCCGAGCCGGCGGAACUGGGGGCCUUGAGUGCCGCGGAGGCAGGCGGAAUGCGCGGUGUAGCGGUGAAAUGCAUAGAUAUCGCGCAGAACCCCGAUUGCGAAGGCAGCGUGCCGGGCCGCCACUGACGCUGAGGCACGAAAGCGCGGGGAGCGAACAGGAUUAGAUACCCUUGUAGUC